UCCCUGGAGGUCCAGUGGCUAAGAUUCAGUUCUCUCAAUGCAGUGGGACCAGGUUCAAUCCCUGGUCAGGGAA
rfam:TPA: Bos taurus chromosome 22, whole genome shotgun sequence.